rnacentral:pre_miRNA from 1 species
CAUGCACUGGUGGGGUCCCUUGGCCUGGCCUGUGCCCUCUCGCAAUCUGGGACCCCUCGGGGAGUGUUGGACUGCUGGUUUCGGCCUGGUCCCCACAGGCCAGGCCAAGGGACCCUACCAGUGCACA